AUUUCAUGUGAAUUUUGUUUUUAUUUGUAUUUUCAAAUUUUUCUUACGUCCGGCUUUUAUUUCGAAUUCAAUUUAACGCAUUUGUUGUGUUUCGGUUUGGUUCUCUCUGCUCAUUUGUUAUUCUUGUGUUUUUUCUUUUUUCUGUUUUGUUAGCUUGUUAUCCGCUGUGUUCGCGUCAGCGAUCUUGAACCGACGAAAGGCACACACAAACUCAGAUACAGCUACAACUGUGCGGCCGCUGUGGCUAUCCGUUGGCAGAGCGCUGUUAACUAAUCGCAGCUGUCUGUUAAUGCUAACUCAAAAUGGCAGCGCACAUGUCGCACUGUUAACAGACUCUGUCAGAGGACUAUCACUCAACCGCGCACAUGUCGCAGCGGCUCGAUGUUGUGACUGAUAGCAGACGCUGUUAAUGAGAGCCAGUUCGAGAAUGGCUUGAGGCCAGUCGAAAAGCCAACGCAAAACUCAAAACACAUGCCAAUUUGUACUAUUAACAAUUAGUCAAGGAAACAGCUACGUUUUAACUAGUUUUUAGUUCAAAACAAGCCCAUUCGUCUGUUGAGAUCUUGAGAACCUCCACAGUUCAUUGCAAUUUGUCGAGGCAGAUAACCGAAGCUCGUGCCAAGCUGCUCAGCAGCUGUCAACGGGUCUCACAUCAGAGCAGCAGCAUCCGAGCAGUCUGUCAAUUUCUUAUUAUCGCGGAGUCGAGGGCACAUUUUACUUCGGAGCCUACGCAAAAGUAACUCGAAGAUAGAUUAGAGGCCCGCUAAUUGAGAUUUAUGCGUGGCGAACGCGUCCAAAAUGCUUUCAAAAGGAGGUGACGAAAUAAUUAGCAACCAGAAAUGACAAUGAUAUAUUAAAUGUCAGUGCACUUAAGAACAUACAACAUUAUUCAAAAUAAAAAUGAUGAAGCGAAAAAAAAUGAUAAAAACUGUGAUACUAAAUGCUUGUCAAAUUUUUAGCUGGCGCCCAUAACUUAUAUUAUUCUGAUCUAUUUGAUAAAAAUGUAUGAAGCAUGUACACCUGUAUAAAUCAAUAAAUUAUGUACAAUAUA